UCAAACAUAUUCAGCUUUCUUCUCCCUUCCUCUCUAACAUGGGUGGUGAGUUCCAAGGGGGUGGAGGACUGGUUUUUCCUCGUUUUCUUGCAUGAAAGAGUGGUCGUUACUCAAAAUUGAGGUAUAAGUAUUCUUAAUUUGGUCUUAGUUUUAGUUGAUUCCACUGUUAGUUCCUCGAUUUUAUGUUUCAAAUUUAUACUUCAGGUGUUAGGGAAAUCCAUAAAUGACUUCAUAAGCCUUCAUUUUAGUAAAGAUUAGUGUGGCUAGAUUCAAAUUUCGUUCUGCAUGUGUAGUUUUCUAGGUUCUCUGUGUGAUUCUUCUGAAUUUCAGGUGAACGAAGGCAAAUGGGAAGAGUUUACAUCUUUUUAAGUUUUAACUCUAAUGAACUCAAAAUCCAUGGUUGAGGUGUAGGGUAUGUGUGGACCUCUAGGACAUAAGUGGAACUAAAAUAUGUUAAGUAUUCAGUUCCAUCUUAAAAAUGGUCCAACAUUCCUCCGGUUAUCUAAGUCCCGAAAUUAUCCCGAAGUAAACCGAGGCCUUCUAUGCCAAUUCUGGGCUUUUGGGCCAAAAUAGUCUGUGAAAUUCUUAUCGUGCUUGGUUAAGAUUAUACUUGUAUCCAAAUGAAAUAUUUGGAUAUAUUGAAGUGUCUAUAGCUCUUUUAGGUCAAUCUCUUCAACGUUUCAGGAAGUGUUAGUACCGGGAAAGGUGAAGUGAUGGAGACAAGUGUUUUAUACAUGAGGAUAGAAAUUGUGUCAAAGAUAAUCAUGCAUCUCUAGCGUAAGUCUAAGAUGAAUAUAAUCGAAUAUUAUUUGUGGCUGGGA
rnacentral:lncRNA from 1 species